rnacentral:rRNA from 1 species
CCUACGGGUGGCAGCAGUGGGGAAUAUUGCACAAUGGGGGCAACCCUGAUGCAGCGAUGCCGCGUGAGUGAAGAAGUAAUUCGUUAUGUAAAGCACUAUCAGCAGGGAAGAAAGUGAUGGUACCUGUGUACGAAGCGCCGGCUAACUCCGUGCCAGCAGCCGCGGUAUUACGGAGGGGCAAAGCGUUAUCCGGCUUUACUGGGGGUAAAGGGAGCGUAGACGGGAGUGCAUGUCGCGCGUGAAAGACGCGGGCUCAACCCCCGGACUGCUCUGGAAACUGGAAGGCUAGAGUUGAGGAGAGGGAAGUGGAAUGCCUGGUGUAGCGGUGAAAUGCGUAGAUAUCAGGAGGAACACCAGUGGCGAAGGCGGCCUACUGGAC